rnacentral:rRNA from 1 species
GAUGAACGCUGGCGGCGUGCUUAACACAUGCAAGUCGAACGAAGCACUUUAUUUGAUUUCCUUCGGGACUGAUUAUUUUGUGACUGAGUGGCGGACGGGUGAGUAACGCGUGGGUAACCUGCCUUGUACAGGGGGAUAACAGUUGGAAACGGCUGCUAAUACCGCAUAAGCGCACAGCAUCGCAUGAUGCAGUGUGAAAAACUCCGGUGGUAUAAGAUGGACCCGCGUUGGAUUAGCUAGUUGGUGAGGUAACGGCCCACCAAGGCGACGAUCCAUAGCCGACCUGGGAGGGUGACCGGCCACAUUGGGGCUGAGACACGGCCCGAACUCCUACGGGAGGCAGCAGUGGGGAAUAUUGCACAAUGGGCGAAAGCCUGAUGCAGCGACGCCGCGUGAGCGAAGAAGUAUUUCGGUAUGUAAAGCUCUAUCAGCAGGGAAGAUAAUGACGGUACCUGACUAAGAAGCACCGGCUAAAUACGUG